AGUGAACGCUGGCGGCAGGCCUAACACAUGCAAGUCGAACGGCAGCACAGAGGAGCUUGCUCCUUGGGUGGCGAGUGGCGGACGGGUGAGGAAUACAUCGGAAUCUGCCCAGUCGUGGGGGAUAACAUAGGGAAACUUAUGCUAAUACCGCAUACGACCUACGGGUGAAAGCGGGGGAUCGCAAGACCUCGCGCGAUUGGAUGAGCCGAUGUCCGAUUAGCUAGUUGGCGGGGUAAUGGCCCACCAAAGCGACGAUCGGUAGCUGGUCUGAGAGGAUGAUCAGCCACACUGGAACUGAGACACGGUCCAGACUCCUACGGGAGGCAGCAGUGGGGAAUAUUGGACAAUGGGCGCAAGCCUGAUCCAGCCAUGCCGCGUGGGUGAAGAAGGCCUCGGUUGUAAGACCUUUGUCCGGAACGAAAGACUCGA
rnacentral:rRNA from 1 species